rnacentral:tRNA from 1 species
GGGAGUGGAGGGGGCCUGGUGGCUUCCGCAGUCUUCAAAACUGCUGCGACCCGACGUCGUCGGGUUGGGUGGGUUCGAUUCCCAUGCACUCCCGCCA